CAGUAGCCACGGUAAUACGUAGGGUGCAAGCGUUAAUCGGAAUUACUGGGCGUAAAGCGUGCGCAGGCGGUUAUAUAAGACAGAUGUGAAAUCCCCGGGCUCAACCUGGGAACUGCAUUUGUGACUGUAUAGCUAGAGUACGGCAGAGGGGGAUGGAAUUCAGCGUGUAGCAGUGAAAUGCGUAGAUAUGCGGAGGAACACCGAUGGCGAAGGCAAUCCCCUGGGCCUGUACUGACGCUCAUGCACGAAAGCGUGGGGAGCAAACAGGAUUAGAUACCCGCGUAGUCCCUGUCUCUUAUAC
rnacentral:rRNA from 1 species